UACGUAGGAGGCGAGCGUUGUCCGGAGUUACUGGGCGUAAAGGGUGCGUAGGCGGCUGCGCGCGUGGAGGGUGAGAUCUCUCGGCUUACCCGGGAGGGGGCUUUCCAGACGGCGUGGCUUGAGGGACGGAGAGGGGCGUGGAAUUCCGGGUGGAGCGGUGAAAUGCGUAGAGAUCCGGAGGAACACCGACGGCGUAGGCAGCGCCCUGGCCGUUUCCUGACGCUGAAGCACGAAAGCUGGGGGAGCAAACAGG
rnacentral:rRNA from 1 species